UGCAAUAUUAAGUAGCUGGAAUAUACUAGACGGGAUGCAACCCUUAUCAGCUGCACCCGGAAAGUUUUGGGAUAAUUCAAUUAUCGCAAAAUGAGUGGGUUUCAGUUGAUCGUGAUUUCCGCCAAUGGCCUGCACCUCGGCUUGAGUUUCCGGAUGUUUUUCUUUCUAAUAAAACAGUCGACAAGUCAAGUUGUGGAAAGUUCGUGUCUGAAAAAGAAUCGUAACCUGCGGACGUGAGAAUUUUUUUUGUCGCGGGAAAUAGUAUUAGAGCAUAGAUUUAAGCCGGAAAAAUCUUUGCUUGGAGCGGCCAUCGCGCAGCAGCAUUGCCGUCCAGACCCCAAGGUUCGACUGGGGCAGCCGCGGAAAUUGAAGGCGGAAAAAUCUUCGCUUGGCGUAGCCAUCGCGCAUCAGCAUCACUGCCCUGACCCCAAGGGUCGACUGGGGCAGCCACAGGCGGGCAGAAGGAGAAGAAGAGGGAGCGAGCAGCGGAAGAGGAUAAGCAGCAGAAGCGGGACCGCAACCGGCGAUAAACCGGGAACCUAGGAUGAUUUUUUAAUUUAAUAGCCAAAAGGCAACAACUCCGAAAGUUAGGUUAAAGGCGCGGAAAAUUUAGCGGGACUUAGUCCAGAAUGCACAGUGCCAGUUCCUGACGAA